rnacentral:rRNA from 1 species
GAUGAGUACUCCCGCAUUGUUUAAUGUCAAAGGAAGUGACGGGAGGUCUCACAAUUGGAGGAGCAUGUGGUUUAAUUUGAAGCAACAAUAAGAACCUUACCAUGGUCUUGACAUCCAGUGCAAUCCUAAGAGAUUGGGAGUUCCCAUAGGGGACGAUGAGACAGGUGGUGCAUGGCUGUGGUCAGCUCGUGUCGGGAGAGGUUGGGUUAAGUCCCGCAACGAGGGCAACCCUUGUCAUUAGUAGCCAUCAUUAAUUUGGGCACUAUAAUGAGACUGCCGGUGACAAACCGGAGGAAGGUGGGGAUGACGUCAAGUCAUCAUGCCCCUUAUGACCUGGGAUACACACGUGCUACAAUGGACGGUACAACGAGAAGCGAACCUGCGAAGGCAAGCGGAUCUCUGAAAGCCGUUCUCAGUUCGGACUGUAGGCUGCAACUCGCCUACACGAAGCUGGAAUCGCUAGUAAUCGCGGAUCAGCACGCCGCGGUGAAUACGUUCCCGGGCCUUGUACACACCGCCCGUCACACCAUGAGAGUCUGUAACACCCAAAGCCGGUGGGAUAACCUUUAUAGGAGUCAGCCUAUAAGGAGGGGGAGUUGGG